UCCAAGAGUCUUUGGAUGAGCGAGGAGUCCCUCAAUCAAACACCUGUGAGGAGACUCCCGAAAUCCAGGCUGAAAACAUCUGUCAGCAGGAAGAACUGAUCCAAGAAUCUUUGGAUGAGCGAGGAGUCCCUCAAUCAAACACCUG